CCCUUAGACGUUCUGGGCCGCACGCGCGCUACACUGACCAGUGCAACAAGCAUCCGUCCUUGGCCGACAGGCCCGGGCAAUCUUUGAACGCUGGUCGUGAUGGGGAUAGACUUUUGCAAUUUUUGGUCUUCAACGAGGAAUUCCUAGUAAACGCAAGUCAUCAACUUGCAUUGAUUACGUCCCUGCCCUUUGUACACACCGCCCGUCGCUCCUACCGAUUGAAUGGUCCGGUGAAGCGCUCGGACCGCGGCCUCUUGACGGGUCUCCGUCGAUUGGCUGUGGGAAGUUCGUUAAACCUUAUCAUUUAGAGGAAGGAGAAGUCGUAACA
rnacentral:rRNA from 1 species